UAGACCGCCUGGGGAGUACGGCCGCAAGGUUAAAACUCAAAUGAAUUGACGGGGGCCCGCACAAGCGGUGGAGCAUGUGGUUUAAUUCGAUGCAACGCGAAGAACCUUACCUGGUCUUGACAUCCACGGAAGUUUUCAGAGAUGAGAAUGUGCCUUCGGGAACCGUGAGACAGGUGCUGCAUGGCUGUCGUCAGCUCGUGUUGUGAAAUGUUGGGUUAAGUCCCGCAACGAGCGCAACCCUUAUCCUUUGUUGCCAGCG
rnacentral:rRNA from 13 species